CAACAUUAUGUCCUUGCAAGUAAAAUUACUCUUACUGGAAAUCCAGCAAAAGUGAUCUAAGCUGUCUAUAUUCUUCAAAGUGACCAUAUUCUUUUGUGCUCGUAUUUGGUCCAGUUUUCUAUCCUUUAUCAAAAUUAUCAUUGUAGCGACAACCGAUCCCUAUUGUUCACAUUGACCAAGUUCCUUUGCAUUAGUUUUUUCUCCAUUAGCAUAUAGUUUAACCAUUUAUACAAGGGGAACGCCAGGGUACUCCUGGCACCAUAACCACUACAACGUUCUGUAAAACGCAAAAUGUCAGGGUGACUGUGUGAUCCAACUUUUUUCAGAAUAUUUUACACAUUAUAUAGAAAUUUAAAUAUCCCUCUUUAAUUAAUUGUUG